rnacentral:lncRNA from 1 species
UCCAGCCCCGGGAGUCAAAACGCCAUCUGUUGAUGGGGCCCCGCCAAAGCUGACAUAGACAGGUCCAGCCUCCAGGUGCCCCCACACCGUUUUCUUGCAUUAUGAAGCUGAGCGGCUUCUUUCUACUCUCUGUGAACAUCCUCCUUUGCCUCUGAAUGACCCAGCCUGGAGUCUUGAGGAGUGCAGCUGCACGGAAACCGGGAUAUUGCCCAGAGUUUGAUCUUGACUGCCCUUUCACUCUCUUACCUAUGCGCUGGCGUGAUAAGAGUUGCAGGGGGUCAAGAAGUGUUGCUACUACAACUGUCGGCAUCAGUGUAUGGAGCCCUGGUGGACUUUGGAUUGAGGUCCAAAGAACCAGAAGAGUAGACAGUCCUUAGAGACAGCAGCUGUGCCGGCUGCAGAAAUGGAGAGAGCUGUGAGCUAGAAUAGAAGAAGAGAAAGGCCAAAAACCACGGAGAAACAGAGCCAGACAACACAGAGGUGAAAUUCAGAAAGCGAGUCCAGCACUUGGCUGAAGUUACAGGCCCUUCCUGCCCUGCCCUUUCCCACCCAAGGCCAUGCCUAGUUCAUGUUACUAAGUCUAAGAAACAGCUCCAGAAGUGGCAUCUCUGCUAACCACUA